UACAGAGGGGGCAAGCGUUGUUCGGAAUUACUGGGCGUAAAGGGCGCGUAGGCGGCCUGCUAAGUCGAACGUGAAAUCCCCGGGCUCAACCCGGGAACUGCGUCCGAUACUGGCAGGCUUGAAUUCGGGAGAGGGAUGUGGAAUUCCAGGUGUAGCGGUGAAAUGCAUAGAUAUCGUCAAGAACACCGAUAGCGAAGGCAGCUUACUGGGCUGUAACUGACGCUGAUGCACGAAAGUGUGGGGAUCAAACAGG
rnacentral:rRNA from 1 species